AGGGGUAUAGCCAAGCGGUAAGGCAAGGGACUUUGACUCCCUCAUUCGUAGGUCCGAAUCCUGCUACCCCUGCCA
rnacentral:tRNA from 1 species